UUAGACCUUAUUUAAGGGCUGACUGCCACUGGGGAAAGAUCUCUUUCUGCAGAUCCCUUCUUGGUGAAGCUUUCCCCUGUGAAUCUGGAAUCUUCUGUUGUAGGUGAGCAAUCUUCUUCCCUUCCUUUGUAGUACCUUUCUGUUGUGCCAGUCCUUCCAUCAUCACACCUUUGUUGUAACACCUUUCCUAUCGUAUUGAUCUAAUAGCUGCAGCAGGGAACAAUCUGUAAUUAUGUAAUUUGAAACAAAAAGCAUGGAGGCCUGGCUCCUCUUCAGUCCUCAAGUCUUGAAUACUCAGACUUGCAUAUUAUGAAGAUUCAUGGCUUCAAAUUUACUCUGAACUACUGAAGUGAGUGUCAUUCUUAACUAAGUCAUCCAGUAGUUAAACACACCACAAAAUCAUCUGCGUGUUUAAUGUAGAGCAGAGAAUUUCUAUGGAGAAAUCUAUAGCUUUUAAUUCAGUGAUGAAUCAUUUAUGGGAUUUUGGAUUAUUCACUUUGCACUGAAUUGAGUUGUCUCUUUCACAAAGACCACCCCCCCAACGUGCUCUGUGUCACAGACUGAGCCUCGUGGUGAUGUAUGUUGCUGGGAUGAAUUAUUUAUUGGAUGUUUUAAAUCACUUGUUCGGUGGUGAACUAAGUCAGUUAAUUUUAAAUCUGUUCAUAUCCAUUCUUAAGUGCACAAAAUGACUUUACGUACACAAUAUUCAUUUCUCUUUCUUCUUUCCUUUUGUGUACAAUAAUGAAUUAUCCAUGAGGUUUGGGUUGAGCUAGUUUUGAAUGUGAUCAGACUUUCCUUUGAGGGAGGCAGUGACCUGUCCUGGGGGUUUGCCCCACUUGUUCUUGGGCCUGGUGUGCAGCAGGUGUGUGCACGAGCCUAUCAACUCUCAGCUGCAUCUUAUUUCAAAAACACAGGGAAGGGAUCACUAUUUCUUAGCCUGUAGUGCACAAGAUGCAGUUCUCUCAAUCCUCAAGAAGUUCAGCAGUGGACUUCUCAAUGGAUUGUAUCAAUAGUAUUGAGAGCAGGGAAAUUCCCAUAGAUUUCUGUGAUCAAACACUGAUUUUAUUUUUUUCUCUUGACCUGCAAGGCUCAGCGGAUAAUGGGGACGGCUCUUUCCUAGGGCUUUCCUGUGAGCUCUGCUUCAAGGACAAGGGAAAAUCAGCCUCUUCACUGACUGCGCGAGCCUGCCUGACGAUGUUUCAAGGACUCUGUUAUGAGGAAAUCUUUGAAACAAGAAAGAAGCUGCAUUGCUUUAGAAAGGGAUGAUGCACUGAUCUGUAUGAGGCUUCAGGAAGCUUUAUCUCCUAUCAGCAGUUAAGCCUUUCUGACGGGGGAUAAUGUGAAAGUACAAUGCAACUUCAAAUUCUUGCUCCAUGCAGAGAUGCACACAAACUGUUCUUUGCAGUGGGCCUAUUCCUGCCCAUGGUAGAGCUGUUAGAAAGGGUGAGGUUCAAUUUGGGCUGGACCUGGUGAAAGGUUGGCAGUGUCUUUUUUAAUCUGAGAAAACAAAGACCUUUUUACUAAGGUCACACGUUGUUACUCAAAACAUUUGGGAACAGAGAGAAAAAUAAACCUAAGGGUUUUGCACAAAUUUCUUUCUGACAUUUACUGUCAGAAAGCUCAGGCCAACUGAAUGACAGAUAUACACAACUGUGUAUUGCUCCACAGUGGAGACAUCCUUCCUACUUUUUAACACUAGUUAAACCAAACAAACACUCACUCUGUCCAUGGAGAUGGUGGCCUCAAAGGAAAUCUGGCUGCCCCCUGAGCCAGGAGCCCACUGCCACCCACCCAGCCUCCAGAUCCAGCUGUGGCAUGGCAAUGAGCUGCACCGAGGUGAGGCUUUUCCUGGACGUGACACCAGGGCUGACUUUCCUGCAGAAAUUAACAUCUUUAGCAAAUCAGCAAGUUAAGGGACUGACUUACUUGCAUCUCUGAUUUAAUGUGACUUGGAUGGGAAAUCUCAGCAAUUCACUAUGAUCACACUUUCUUCGUUGCUCAGGAUAUAAAUCCCACAGUUUAAAAUAUCCAUCUUUUCCUGUAUAAAGAAGUGCGUCCCUUUACAUGUGGACACGACGCAAUUCAGGUGGCAGGACAAGAGAGUUUUAAAUGAUAAAGCCUUGGGGCUCUCUGUGCAUAACCAUGUGCUUCUCAAGCACAGUAAAUUUAAAAGCUUUCUAAACGCAAGCCACUCACUAUAAUUUCCAUCCGAGCCCCAAGCCAUUGUGGUUAUUGUGGAUGGAAACAACACCUUGGCCAUCUCAAGCAGCCCAAGCUGUAAGUGCUUCCAUUGAAGUAAUUCCACUGUGCACCAGGGAAGAUCAAACAUAACUGCUACCAUAUUUAGUGAAAUGGAUGUUAUUAAUUUAAUGUAUAACAGUGUAAACAGACAAAGAAGUUUGCUGCAUUACCAUGAUUAAGGUGAUGUCUCUAGCCAUUUCUUCCCUCUCCCUCCUGUCCACCUUCCAUAAUGCACUCUUCUCCUUCUGAAUAAUCUCAUCAGAGCCACAUCAGUGUUCAGCUCUGCUUCAGCCACAGCUGUAGACUUGGCUGCAUCAGCUGUGAAAACACUGCAGCUGUUGCGCAGAAUUUACCUAAAAGGCCUAAAUUUCACCUUAGUGCUGCUGCCCCAUGCUUGUUGAUUUGGGUAUUUGGAGGUGUGAGGUGGCACUGGGGGCUGCAGGCCACCCUAAUGCAGAAAUACUGCCACUGAAAUAUUACACAGCAAUUUCAGAGCUGAUGAAAAAGCUUACAAUGGGGAAAAUGGAAAUGUUACAGUGAUUGCAUUCCUCAACAAGAAGGGCAAUGGGAAUGAAGGCGCUGCUGUGUUCAUUUGAGGAGCACCAAUUCCUGAUUGCCAGAGCUUGACAGGAGCGCUCCCUGCAUUUGUUCAGGUGAGUUCUGGAUGAUGACAUUUGCAAAUUUAAAAUGCCAGACAUUAAAAAAAACAACAACAAAGAAAGACAAAAAAACCCAUCAGCCAAACAGAACAGCCCCAGAUUUUCUUGGUUUUAUGGCAUGCUCUUUAUAAUAAAAUUAUUUCAGCACAGUUUCUCUUCUUCACUGAGCAGGGUGACUGUGAAUUCCAAGGACUGAAGAUCUGGAUGUUUUCACGGGAGCAUCCUGCUAUUGUUGGUGCUAUUGGUGCUAUUGUUGGUUGUAUAUUGGUGUGUCCUACCAGCAUCCUCAUCUGCUGAUGCUCGAGUGCACAGCCAGCAACCAACAUUUCCUCAGUUGAGUUACACCUUCAGCCCAGGAUGAUCUCUCUUAACGUUUAGGUUAUUUUCUCACGUUUCUCUUUCCAGGUAACCUUACCUUCUGUACACACCUAAAGAAUUCCAGGUUAUUUUCACUCCUCUCCAUGAAGGAAAUUAAAGGCUUCCUGCUGCUGUAUGCUCUCACAUGCAUCUAUGUGAUAAACCUGUGUUUUUCCUGCCCAGUUCCAAAAAGCACCAUUAAAGUUAAUGCAUUUCAGGUGUGAGGGCAACCAGAGAAAGGAUUAAUUUCUGUAAUCUUUGGUCUUUUCUCAUUGUCUUUUGCAAUGUGAAACUUAAAGCCAUAACUGCAAAUAAAGAAAAUAUGUCUUUUGUUGUAAACAAA